UUCUUUUGGACAACAUAAAUAUGUUAUCUGAAUAAGUACAUUAAAAGGGCUGCAAAGCCGUGCAGGUAAAGUUUAAAUUGAAAAAAUAAGGUUCUGUAAUAUCCCACAUCGGCCAAACGGAGAGGGGUUAUGUGCUGUAUAUGUACAUGCCCGCCUCCAAUCUAACACGAGGCCUUUUGGUGGUUCAGCGGCUUCGGAGGGGAUGGGUACUCCGAGGUUAAGCAUGUUGAUGCAAGAGCAAUCCCAGGAUGGGUGACCUACUGGGAAGCUGCUCUUGAGCUGCUGGAAACAAAACCGUGAGGGCCGGUGGGCCCAAAGCGGACAAUAUCGUGUUACGGCGGAGCGGGUCCCGGGAUGUGACAAAUAAGGGGACCAGAGCCACUCUGCCGUGUGGUGCGAGUGUGCCGACGAGGGCGUCGGACUCCUAAGGGGGGUGGAUUGUAAUAUCCCACAUCGGCCAAACGGAGAGGGGUUAUGUGCUGUAUAUGUACAUGCCCACCUCCAAUCUAACACGAGGUCUUUUGGUGGUUCAGCGGCUUCGGAGGGGAUGGGUACUCCGAGGUUAAGCAUGUUGAUGCUAGAGCAAUCCCAGGAUGGGUGACCUCCUGGGAAGCUGCUCCUGAGCUGCCGGAAACAAAACCGUGAGGGCCAGUGGGCCCAAAGCGGACAAUAUCGUGUUACGGCGGAGCGGGUCCCGGGAUGUGACAGGUUCUUUUAGACGACAUAAAUUUUUCGUCUCUAGAAUUACAAUAAAAGAGCUGAAAACCCGAUUUGGACAGUCUUCCUCACACAACAUAUAUAUGAGGUCUUAAUUUUUAGCUGAAAGUGAGAAUUUAUGGGGCUGUUGACACUACACCUAUAUGUGGUACGAUUUUUUCAAACCUAUAAAAAAUGAAGCAGCAUCCAAAAGUAUUGAAGUAGCAUGUCAUUGAGACGACUUUUAUAUUUUAUAUGUCAUCUAAAGAACCACAAAAACCAUCAUACGACAUUGUUUUGAAAAGCAUUUUUAUAUGUCGUGCGUCUUGUGUCGUCUGAAGAUGUUAUUGGCAUAGUGUAGGCCUGAUUGUUUUUGGCAAUCCUCCAGCCCAUGCUGCUUAAUUAUUUCUUGAUGAUCUUGCUGCUGUAAAAAGAGCUAGGAGAGUCUCCUGCUCUAGUACUUAAUUUUCUUGUUUUCUUUGUUUAGGCCUUUUAGGCCUCGCUUGUAAGAUCAAAACCUAAAAUACUAGAUCUCUUUUAAGUUAAACCCAUACAUAUUUUUCUUUCAUUUUACACCCACUCCACAUAAGCAAACUUACCAUAUAUAGCAAAUGUCUAUAAUUACUAGUUUUAUUCAUUUUUCGGUUUCUCUGAUUUGCCCUUCAGACGGUAGAAAACUAAAUUUGGUAUCUUUCUCAAUUUUAGCAUUAAUUUGAAACUCAAAUACUGAGCUAAAAUUUAGUUAGAUUUAACUUUGUC
rnacentral:lncRNA from 1 species